GCAGAAGUUAAAUCAGACUGGUGCACAGAUUUAUGAAAGUAAUUUAAGCGUUUUAUUAAUUGUACAUAAAAUAAAUAUAUUUUGAGAGAUGAGAACAAUCAAAUGGGUUUCUGUUGUAAUCAGUGGAGAGCGGAAUGUAAAUAUCUAUAUUUUUAAUAUAGCAUUUAAAUCUACUACCUAAGACUGAUUUUCUUUAAAUCAGACUAAUGUACUUUUGUGUUUUGCUUUUUAUUUCUUAACCUGCAAAAAAAAAAAAUCUUUAAAUGGCCUGGAAGCUUCGGACACUUCCCUGUUUUUAUUUCUGCAGGGAUGCCUUCAGACCUUGAAUGUAUUUAAUGUUUGAUUUUGUGUAGCUGUUAAAAGGAUUGUAAUACUUGCAGAUGAUUAUUUGUACAUUGUAUUAUUGCACAGAAUUCUAAUAUAAUAAAUGUUUGAAGCGUUUAUGUUGGUCUGAUUUGUGACGUAAUUAGUUUCAGCUGUGAAAGUUGAUGGACGGAGACGCAGCGAGGCUCGUUUCUCUUUAAUCACCAGGAAGGUGAAUAAAUUAAAUUUAAAAAGAUUAAAUAUAACAUAAGAAUGAGUUUAUUGGGAGUAUUUUGCCAGUCGAAAAGGAUUUUUCUCCUGCUGAAGUCAGAAGUUCUGCAGUUUCCAUGAAUCCGUCACAACGAAACAAAAACUUCAGGAACAGCAGCAGAAAACCCCGCAGAGUAACGCUAAAAUGUGAUUCUGGUUAAUUUAUGACCAGCUGGUCUGGAGGAAGUCCGACCAGAGAGACGGCAGGUUCAGCUUUCCUGUAAUCAGGACCAACAGCCGCCGA